GUCACUGUUCUCAUGAAGCUUAUAUUCUAGGUGGAGGACGAUAAACACACAAGCAUGGAAAAAGAAAAAUAUAUGAGACACUGAUGGUGGAGAGAUGGAGCAUCUAUUUUACACUGAGUACUUGAGAACAUCCAUGUUUAGAGUCCUGAGCCUUAAUAUGAGAGAACUAAGUCCAUAGAAAGACCCCCUGUGGGGUACUCCAGAGAGUCGCCUAACUUCCACGUCCUCCUAGCCCAAGGUGCCAGUCAUUUGAGUGAAGACACAUUCAAGUGAUGCCAGAUAAAUGGAACGGCUAGGCCAUGGGCUUCACUCAUUUACAUUGCCAGCCUGACAUCUAGAAGGCCUUGAUUUUCCUACUCUGCACUAAAGAAAAGUGCCCUAGAUUUGGACUUAUGAGGCAAAAUCUCCAGUCUCAGCUAUGUGCAAUUGGACAAAUCACAUUAAAUCUCUAAGACUCGGUUUUCCUGCCUAUCACAUGCCUCUCUCACAAUGGACCUAAUUAAAUAA